rnacentral:lncRNA from 1 species
GAACAUCCUUUUUUUUUUUUUAAUUUGAAGAAAGAUAUGAUCCUAGACCCAAUGUAGGAGUGGCUUUAUUAAUAGCACUAUCAUAUAUCUUAUGUAAAUAUUUUUACAAUUCGAAUGAAGUUAUCUAUUGCAUUAAAGCAUUUUCUAUUGCUCCAAGUGAUGCUCUAAUGUAGGUCCCUAAGUUGCUGGAGGCUUUUAGUACAGUCUUCAUAACUUGUAUUUAAGUAGCCACAAUGCACCUUUUCUCUCAGAAUAUAAAACUUCUAAGAUUUGUGCUGUAAUUUUCCUGAGGGCAAAGAUGUUGCUCUUCAGAGCUGGCCAAGUGUUUCUAAGAGUGGAAUCUGUAGUUUGGAGAAGGACUUUCACUUUUCUUCAUAUAUGUGUAUGUAUAUAUAUAUAUAUAUAUAUAUUUGAAGAAAGAUACUGUGAUCCUAGACCCAAUGUCCAAUGUAGGGAUGGCUUUUUUAAUAGCGCACGCGCGCGCGCGCGCACACACACACACACACACACACAUGCACACAUACACACAAUAUCAUAAAUAAAAUCAAGUGAUACACACACACACACACACACAUAUAUAUAUAAAUCAAGUGAUAUAUAUAUAUAUAUAUAUAUACACAUAAAAUCAAGUGAGAUCUUAUAUAUCGAUAUCUAUAUAUCUAUAUCUCAGUUGGUUUUAUUUUCAGAGACAGAAAAAAAUCAAAUAUGAGGAAGCUUAUAAAAGUGAGCAUAAAUCUCACACCCUCAGUAUGAUGGUUGACAUACUGGGAGGAACUCUAGAAGCCCGUGAAGGUGGGGCUUUUCUACGUGUCUCAUCAUUGUAGAGAACAGCUAACCAUGAGCUGCAUCAUCUGGAAAAUCAACUUUGAAGAGCAGAUUGAAAACAGGAUAACUCGGCCCUUCUACCAACCACCUAGCACCUAGUGUCUUCUGUGUUGCCCUUUCCCUCCCCGUUCUACAGUUGAUCUAGCAGUGUAACCAUUAUUAUUUUUUUCAUUACUUCCUUGUCUUCCUUGUUUGUUCAUUCAUUUUCUUCAACACUCCCCAAAGUUGAUGGCCCCAGUUGUGAGAAAGGGAAUCUUGUAGGGAAGGCUUAGAAAGGGGUUAGUAUGUUACAGAACCAAGAGUGAAAGCUGUUCCCUUUGGGAGGGGUAUGCGUUAUAUCCCCUUGUCACCAGGCUAGAGCAACGUCAGGGAGGAAAGGUUUCAUUUGAUUUUCAGGUUCCGGUGGUGGGGGUGGGGGUGGGGGGAACGGUACAUCAUCUGGGGAAGGCAUGGCGGUGGGAGUAGCUGGUGACUCAGGUGGAGGGAGAUGAUCAUGUGCCUUGCUCACACCUCGCCAGCCCAGCAGGCCCAGAAGCAAGAGCAGUGCUGGGCUGCAACUCUGGAGGCAGCGAUUUACUUCUUCCAUCUAGGCUCCGCCCCCUGAAAGCUCCACACCUCCCAAUCUGUGCCACCACUGGAAAGCAAGUGUUGAAAUGUGUGAGCCCAUAGAGGCACACUACACACACACCACACUGUGAUAGGUGGUAAGGAAAUGAUUGCUAAUGACGAACAGUGAGUCUUGUCU